ACAACCACGAAACAUUUUUUCCCAAUGUUUGCGCAGGUGAGAACCAGCAAGAGAAAGAUCCUGGUAAAUUAGAAAAUAGAAAAGCGCCGAUUGCCACUUGAACUACUUUUUGUCACAGUGAAGUUUCAUUUUUGUUUUGGCUGUAGUUUCACAACCUUGAAGAAGCCAACUGUGGAUGUCAUUUGAUUAUACUUGAUUCCUCUUUCUUGUUCAUUGGGACAUGACAAGAGGACAAUGAGCAAAGCCACCUCCCAAGAUGCUGCUGCAGAAUGACCCACUGAGCCUUUCAAAUCCAGCCCUAGUCACUGACAGCAGCACCCCUCUGUGUAUGGGCGGCUUAGAGUGGCUCAGAAAUCGUGCCUACUGCACUCUGGAAUUGGAUUCGCAUACGGUGGUGAGAAGGAUGCCUAAUUCCUUUGCAGGCAGAAUUGAAACCCAAAAUGAUCUUGACAAAUUGAAAUAACAACAAAUACUUGGCAGGAAGGCAGUCAAGAAAGAAAAACAAACACCUAAGGCAAAUUCAGGACGGGGAAGAGGAGGUUGGCCACAGAAGCUAAGAGGUGCUAUUUGUGAAUCAUGAACUGAGCGUGAGUCAGCAGCCCACGGCUGUUAGUUUAAGAACUGGCGAGAUAGAGGAAUAGAGGAUAGAGCACAGCACGCAGGAACCCUGAAGCAAUGUCCCACCGGGCAUUGGUCAGGCACUUCUUAGAGUACUUUAUUCAGCUGAGGUCCAGAAACUAAAGAAGAAUAUGAAAACUUGGAAAGGAUGGAAGAAAGGCAACAGAAAAAAAUGAAAAGUUCAAAUGAAAGGGUCUAUAAAGAAUUGGAAAUCACAGAGAAGAGCUUGCACAAGAGUGACUUUCCUGAAUGUCCAGAUAAUUACACAUUUUUCCCAUAAACUUUGCACUUACGGAGAAGAUUUUGCAAUAUUCUCUUGGGUCUCUCGCAACCUUUUAACGACAAUGCAUUAAAAUGCUCUCCAGGUUGGCAGUGAUAGGAAGAAAAAGAAAUAUUAGGUGCUGACUGUGUUUCAGUUUCUUAAUUUAAAAAAUUUUGUAGAGCCAUCUGCAGGACGUGUAUUACUGGUACCUGAAAUUGAAAAUAAAUUUCCUCUGUCAAAAUCUUUUUUCCUCAGACCCCUUAUUUUACUUAGUGGAGAAGGCCCUCGAGUCAGUCUUGGGUGGCUGGAUGCAUCUUUGACUUCUCCGUCUCUCUUACCAGCCGCGCUCAAUUAACCAGGAAGCUCCACUGAUGCUGCCUGCUAGGGCACGCAGGGAGGACUCCACGGGGACAUUCUGGGUAGACUUGCUCCUCCCCAUCCCUUGUGCUGCCAUCUUCAUGCACAGUCUUAUCAUCUCUUCCUUUUAGUGUCUCCAUUGAUUCCUGACUGCAUAGCCUAACGUGAGUCUGUGCUCAAGCUCAUUCUCCGUACACAUAUUCCAUUAGAUCCCUCCUUUGCUCAGAGACUUCAGCUGGCUCUAUGCUUCUUAAGGAAUAAAAGCAAAGCUUUGUAACAUGAUGUGCAACACCCUUCAUGUCCCCCAACCAGCUGCUGGCCUUCAGCACUGAUGGACUCCAAACACAUCAGCUAAAAACCCGAAAGAUUUCAGCUGCUGGCCAUUGCAAGGGGAGUCCAGACAUGCUGCCUUUCUACUGAAAUGAGGAGAAAUCAGUCCUCUCUGAAGAACAUAGCGGCACCUCCAAUAUCCAUGACAUAGUAUUCGUAAUUAUUCAUUCUGGUUAAAUUGGGGCAUUGCAAUGCUACAGUUAGUGAAUCUGGAUCAUUCUGUCUGCCUUUAAAGAGCCUUCAGCUUCGUUCUGGCAGGCAGUCAACUAUGGCCUACCCUCAUGGUUCUGGGUUUUAUUAAGGCAGUUCUAAAGCAGCCCUAGAAUGUGGAAUUACUUAUAAUGUGUCACCUUUUGGGAACCUCAAUUAAAUGUUGCUUGAGAAACCUGA